rnacentral:rRNA from 1 species
UCCUACCGGGAGGCCACAGUAGGGAAUCUUCCGCAAUGGACGAAAGUCUGACGGAGCAACGCCGCGUGAGUGAUGAAGGCUUUCGGGUCGUAAAACCUGUUGUUAGGGAAGAACAAGUGCUAGUUGAAUAAGCUGGCACCUUGACGGUACCUAACCAGAAAGCCACGGCUAACUACGUGCCAGCAGCCGCGGUAAUACGUAGGUGGCAAGCGUUAUCCGGAAUUAUUGGGCGUAAAGCGCGCGCAGGUGGUUUCUUAAGUCUGAUGUGAAAGCCCACGGCUCAACCGUGGAGGGUCAUUGGAAACUGGGAGACUUGAGUGCAGAAGAGGAAAGUGGAAUUCCAUGUGUAGCGGUGAAAUGCGUAGAGAUAUGGAGGAACACCAGUGGCGAAGGCGACUUUCUGGUCUGUAACUGACACUGAGGCGCGAAAGCGUGGGGAGCAAACAGGAUUAGAUACCCUGGUAGUCCACGCCGUAAACGAUGAGUGCUAAGUGUUAGAGGGUUUCCGCCCUUUAGUGCUGAAGUUAACGCAUUAAGCACUCCGCCUGGGGAGUACGGCCGCAAGGCUG